rnacentral:rRNA from 1 species
AUUGAACGCUGGCGGCAUGCCUUACACAUGCAAGUCGAACGGUAACGGGCCUUCGGGUGCCGACGAGUGGCGAACGGGUGAGUAAUACAUCGGAACGUGCCCGAUCGUGGGGGAUAACGAGGCGAAAGCUUUGCUAUACCGCAUACGAUCUACGGAUGAAAGCAGGGGACCGCAAGGCCUUGCGCGGACGGAGCGGUCGAUGGCAGAUUAGGUAGUUGGUGGGAUAAAAGCUUACCAAGCCGACGAUCUGUAGCUGGUCUGAGAGGAUGAUCAGCCACACUGGGACUGAGACACGGCCCAGACUCCUACGGGAGGCAGCAGUGGGGAAUUUUGGACAAUGGGCGCAAGCCUGAUCCAGCCAUGCCGCGUGCAGGAUGAAGGCCUUCGGGUUGUAAACUGCUUUUGUACGGAACGAAAAGCCUUCUUUUAAUACAGGAGGGUCAUGACGGUACCGUAAGAAUAAGCACCGGCUAACUACGUG